rnacentral:tRNA from 1 species
CCGCCGUUAGCUUAAUGGACAGAGUGCUGGUUCCUGAGACCAGAGGACGAGGUUAAAAUCCUUGACGGCGGUCCA